UACGUAGGGUGCAAGCGUUGUCCGGAAUUACUGGGCGUAAAGCGCACGUAGGUGGCUUUGCAAGUCGAUUGUGAAAUCCCCGGGCUUAACCUGGGAACUGCAGUCGAGACUGCUCUGCUUGAGUAUGGGAGAGGGAGGUGGAAUUUCCGGUGUAGCGGUGAAAUGCGUAGAUAUCGGAAGGAACGUCAGUGGCGAAGGCGACCUCCUGGACCAAUACUGACACUCAAGUGCGAAAGCGUGGGGAGCAAACAGG
rnacentral:rRNA from 1 species